GUCACCUUGGGUGUCUGGGCUGAACAGAAUACUAAAUGGCUCUGUCAGGAUCCGUCUACCUCACAGGUCACCAUAGAGUAGGUGCUCGGACCCCUGCCUGCUCAAGCCAGCACCACUGCUUCUCCUACUGCACCUGUAGGAAAGCUUUCUUCAGUUGAUUCUCCUUCCUCUAAGGCACUCAGAGAUCUCCAAGUGUCCUCCUGAUCACAGAGAGGAUUCUCUGACCCUGACAGAGGCAGCACCAGCCCCUGCUGUGAGGAAGAGGGGAACAGAAUGCAGAUGGGAACAGGACCGCAGAGGCCGCAGCAUCUCAUCCUCCUGUGCCCUCGGAGGCUGUGGCCACUGAACAGGUCUGGUCUUCUCUGGGUAGAGCCAUCAGGGUGACCCCUUGAAGGCCCUUCAGCAUAUGAAAUCAGUAGCCAAUUAGAAAACUAAGCUUCGGGUAGCUUCUGAUGGGGCUGGAGCACAGAAGGGUCUAGACACAGAUGAAAGGUAUUCUGCUUCCCGUGUGUUUUGGCUUGGAUGUGAGGUGUCCCCCAAAGGCUCUCAGGUGAGGCAGUGUGAGAGGGUUCAGAGGGAAAUGACUGGGUGGUGAGAGCCUUAACCCAGUCAGUGAGUUAAUCCCCUGGUGGGAUUCACUGAGUGGGAACUAGAGGCAGGCGGGGUGUCUAGAGGAGGUGGGAACUGGAGGGCGUGUCUUUGGGUAUAUAUUUGUAUCUGGAGAGUGGAGACCUUGCUCUCUCUGCUUCCUGGUCAUCGUGGGAGCUGCUUCCCUCUGCCCUACUCUUGUGCCUUGAUGGUCAGCCUCGCCUGGAGCCCCGAAUGGAAUGGAACCUAGUGUUCUGGACUGAGACCUCUAAAACGGCGAGCCUCCAAGUAAACUUUUCCUCCUCUACAAUUGUUCUGGUCAGGGUCUUUGUCACAGCAGAAAAAAAAAAAAAAACUGACUAAAACACUUUGUGACCCAAAGCUCCAGACCACUGCCACCGGAACUCUGUCUACCCCAGAGGUCAUGGAGGGCAAGAGCACCAGGCCUGAUACCAUGAGAGGGGUUCCAGACAGGGGAAGGGAGCUCACAGCAGAACCUGGGCGUCUUCACGGGGGCUGGACAUCAGCUCCCUCACCAGGGGGCCCUGGGGCUGUGCUGUGGAGAGCCAGGGCUGUGAGGUGGAUGUUGUUCCUCCAAGGGUUCCUGUGUUGGAAACUCAGUCCCCAGGGUGACCGUGUUGAGAGGGGCCUAGUGGGAGGUCCUGGGUCAAAAGUGAUUAAGGGAUCUCUCAUGGAAUUCUGAUUAGUUUUUCCCCAUUGAUUCUUUUUAAUUAUACAUGACAAUAGAAUCCAUUUUGACAUAAUUACAAAAGCAUGGAAUAUAUCUUUUUCUAAUUCCGAUGCCAGUACCUCUUCUUUUCCUUCUCUCUCCACCCCACCCCUGGCUCCCUUCCCUAUAUUGAUCUUUCUGCCAUUUACCCAUAGUUUGUUUUUAAUUAAUUUCUGGAUGUACUCACUGUCUGAUUAGUACUUGUGAGAGGAUUGUUAUAAAAGCUGAGCAUGACCCCCAUCCUACCUCUGGCUCGUUUUGAGAUGUGAUCCUCCCCUCCCCCACCCCACAUAUGCUCCCAUGGCCUGCCAAGGGGACUUCACCAGAGCCUGCUUUGUGCUGCUUAGACUUUCAACUCUAAAACUGUGAGUUUAAUAAACCUCUCUUCUUUAUAAAGUUAGUCUUCCUCAGGUAUUUCAUUCUGGCAACGAAAAGAUGACUAAUAAACCGAGUUCUAGGGGUGAAACAUAUUUGCCUGGCCCAGAGUUAUACCUGGGAUGCAUGGAGUUUUGAUGAAGCAUACAAGCUCUACACUUCUUCAACCCAAAGUCAGAGAGAAAGAGGGCCAACCAAUCUCCAGGUCUGGGAUCUGUGGAAAUAAUGGACACCUAUAGGCCUGAAUCACUGGUAAGCUGUGAGACCUAAGCAAACCAUUUCUCUUAAGGAGCCUCAUCUUCAGCAACAGGAAAUGCCCAUGGGUGACCUGCUCAAGUGAUUCUAUGACAUUUAGCAUUGGUAUGUAAGUUGUCCACAAAAUGACCCCUCCUAUGACAGGCUACUUUGAAACUCUUCAACACUUGACAAGCACACUUUGAAUGCAUCCAAGGAAACAAUGGCAGGUUCCUUGAGUUAUGAAAACUUAAGCGAUUCUCAUCCUCAGGGAUUUCUUAGAGUGUGAGCUCACCCAAGGUCUUGUUCUCUCUCCUCCCUGCCUCAGGUGCAUAAACCUCCUCACCCUAGAAUGUUUAGGUGGGAUGAGGACUUGUUUAAGUCCCUCAUAUCCCAUGCACACCUGGACAGGGCAGGGGCCAGGCUCAAGUUACACAGGACUCAGAGGCGGAGAAGAGACAGAGCCUAAUCCUGCUCUGCCCAGACACACUCUUCUGACCUGUCAAUUCCCCUCUGUCCUUUUCUGUCUCCCUUUACUGCCACCUCCAUCUCCUGACCUCCACUGAAGUGGUCUUUCCUCUCCCUUCCAAAAAGCAUGAGAAAGGAAGGACAUAAAGAGGCAGACAAAUAAAAAGCUGGGGAGAGGAAUCAAAUUAACAUUUUACAUGAUAAAAUGUGCCAUUCCACAUCAGAGCAAAUCCCUAAAAGAUGAAAAAUGUAUUGCCAUUCUGUUCUGCAUGAAAUGAUUGAGGGCGCUGUAGAAGGAAGAGGGAAUACGUUCCAAACCCUCCGUCGGUGUUUGUCUCCUAGAUCACAUGUGUGUGCAGGUAUGUACUCAUGAAGCAUGAGGCUGGGGGAAGUCAAUUGACCUAAGUCUUCCCCAAAGAGAGACCUUCAGAGUAUCACUCAUGGAAGCAAAGGACUUAUAACUGUUGCAGGAAGGUAUAAGCCCAGCCUCCAGGGUCACAUAGUAAAACUCCAUUAUAAACAGAUUUUAGGAAGACAAAGCCCAGAGAAGUGAAGACACUUGCCUAAAGCCAUCAGAGGAAAUUAGUUCCAAAUCCUAGGAUAGAAAUCUGCUCUCCACGUACUGUCCAAUGGAGUGAUUAGUACAGUUUAGGUAUGAUUUUGCCCGUGUUUUCCACUGGUGGGCACUAAAAUAUUUAAAAUAAAAUGAAAACAGAAUGGAAAAGACAGAGUAGAAUAGAAUAGAAUAGAAUGGGGUAGAUGAAAUUAGAAGUCAGGAUAAGUGUUAUUUCCCAAAGCAUGUGUUUCACAUGUAUGCACAUGUGGGCACAUGGACACACGUGUAUAUUCACUCACAUGUACACGGGUGUGUGCCCUCUGCGUCAAUGGAUCAGCAUCACAAAAUGUUUGAAGGCUACCAGUUUAGCCUGGAGGUAAAGUAUAUAGCCCUGGUUCAAAUCCUGGUUCUCAGUGAACUUUUGGACAAUUGCUUUUACCUUUCUGAACUUUGGCUUCCUAUAAAUUGAGGAUAGUGAUAGACUCUAUCUCACAAGAUGCAGAAAGUGAACGGACACAAUCCAUGUAAGGUGUGAAUCCAGUAAAGGACACCAUGACACUGUGACACCAAGUAAAUGCCAACUAUUAAAUACACAUAGGCUGGUGUAGACGUGCGUGUGGGCAUAGACACGGUAUGUCUAGGUAGGUGUGAACAUAGGGGUAGGUGUAGGGAUGUGUCUACACAUGCAUAUAAAGGAUCCUAACUCCAAGGGAAACAAAAGACCCCAGCAGUCGGCCCCAAUAAAGAAGCCAGCUAUUGGGAGGCUAUUGGGAGGAAUCAAUGAUACUAAAGGAGGCACCUGUCCACAAGUAGGGUCUGCACCUGAAACCCAUCAUCCCACCAUCCAUGUUCAAGUGCUGCCUGGUGCCUGCUUAUAUAAGCGUGUUUAAAGGGUUGGUUCCCUCCACAGGAGAAUGGGCAGUUUGGGGUCACCUGAUCAAAAAGGGGAGAAGGGGAAAUCCUGAAGACGAAUCUUGCCUCCUUACUCACUCCGCAGGGCUUAGGGGUCACUGUCUUUCUCACUCUGCUGCUUCCUCCCAGGACAGCUGGAGAAACCAGGGACUGGAGAAUUUGCUGCCUGGGGAGACCUGCAAGAGGGAGAGCUGAAGGGCAACGAUGCUGCUGCUGUCGCUGCUCCGUGGUAUUUAUUUAUUUUCUGUUCGCGAGUAAACUCUCGGCCCCCUGAGGAAAGAUGGAGUUGGGGGAAGGAUGCGGAGCCUUGGAAUCUUUUGCAUCCAGGGAUGUGAGUGGGAUUUUAUAUUUAGCGGAUGACUCACCUCCAAGCACAUUAGUCACUGCCUCCCAGCUCCAUUCUGGCAGGCGGGAUGCUGGGGAGCUCAGUGGGGUGAGAUCAGAUAGGAUGUUGGGAGAAAGCGUGAGAGAGCUCCAGGGGGAAGAGACUGGGAGACCCAAAGGAGAGAGGGAGAUUAAAGCCCCAGAGCUGAAAGCACAGAGAAAGUCAGACUCAGCAGAGAAGUUCCAGGGCAGCAGGGGACACAGGCUCCCAUUGCCUCAUGCACCCAGCCACAGGGGAGGGAGAGGAGAGGAGAGCAAGGCCCAGGGCACCUGCAUCGUCACCAGCCCUCCAAGUGGUCAUCUCUCGAAGUGCAGGAUGUUCAUGUGCUUGGGCCUCCUCUGUGGGCUGCCCAUGGCAGUGACUGUCUAGCAGACAGUCUGGCACAGUCUAGUGGCCAGAGCAGACUGUGCCUAGACUGCGCCUGGGUCAGAGGCUUGAGCAGGGCAGAUAAAGACAGCAUUGUGAAGGAUGCUCUGUGUCGUGAGAGGGAAAGGAGCCUGUGGGGUUUAGGGCCAACGAUCUCAUAAUGGACUCGGGCCACCUAUGUCAGAAGACCUGGAGAAUUCCAGCACCUUGAAGUGCCAGCCCCCAUCCUGGCCCUGUUCCACCUGACUUCCUCUGGGCAGGUCCAGAGACGCUGCCCUCACAGAGUGCAGGUGCUUCUCAGGCAUACUCAGGAGCAAACCCCGGGUCUCCUGCUGCAUUGCAGCCUCUGGAGGCUCAACUUCUGGUGGAUGUGGGAUGGGAGCAAGUUGAUGGGCUUCUAUGAGCCUUGUUUACCAUGAGAAAUGUGAGGU